GCUUAGAAGCAGCCAUCAUUUAAAGAGUGCGUAAUAGCUCACUAGUCGAGUGACACUGCGCCGAAAAUGUACCGGGGCUAAACAUAUUACCGAAGCUGUGGAUUGUCCUUUGGACAAUGGUAGGAGAGCGUUCUAAGGGCGUUGAAGCAUGAUCGCAAGGACAUGUGGAGCGCUUAGAAGUGAGAAUGCCGGUGUGAGUAGCGAAAGACGGGUGAGAAUCCCGUCCACCGAUUGACUAAGGUUUCCAGAGGAAGGCUCGUCCGCUCUGGGUUAGUCGGGUCCUAAGCUGAGGCCGACAGGCGUAGGCGAUGGAUAACAGGUUGAUAUUCCUGUACCACCUAUAAUCGUUUUAAUCGAUGGGGGGACGCAGUAGGAUAGGCGAAGCGUGCGAUUGGAUUGCACGUCUAAGCAGUAAGGCUGAGUAUUAGGCAAAUCCGGUACUCGUUAAGGCUGAGCUGUGAUGGGGAGAAGACAUUGUGUCUUCGAGUCGUUGAUUUCACACUGCCGAGAAAAGCCUCUAGAUAGAAAAUAGGUGCCCGUACCGCAAACCGACACAGGUAGUCAAGAUGAGAAUUCUAAGGUGAGCGA
rnacentral:rRNA from 1 species